rnacentral:tRNA from 1 species
GGUAUAGCUCAGUGGUAGAGCAUGUGCUUAGCAUGCACAUGACCCUGGGCUGAUCUCCCAGUGCC